rnacentral:rRNA from 1 species
GACGAACGCUGGCGGCGCGCCUAACACAUGCAAGUCGAACGGAGCUGAGAGAAGCUUGCUUUUCUUAGCUUAGUGGCGAACGGUGAGUAACGCGUGAGUAACCUGCCCUGGAGUGGGGGACAACAGUUGGAAACGACUGCUAAUACCGCAUAAGCCCACGAUCCGGCAUCGGAUUGAGGGAAAAGGAUUUAUUCGCUUCAGGAUGGACUCGCGUCCAAUUAGCUAGUUGGUGAGGUAACGGCCCACCAAGGCGACGAUUGGUAGCCGGACUGAGAGGUUGAACGGCCACAUUGGGACUGAGACACGGCCCAGACUCCUACGGGAGGCAGCAGUGGGGGAUAUUGCACAAUGGGGGAAACCCUGAUGCAGCGACGCCGCGUGGAGGAAGAAGGUUUUCGGAUUGUAAACUCCUGUCGUUAGGGACGAUAAUGACGGUACCUAACAAGAAAGCACCGGCUAACUACGUG